rnacentral:rRNA from 1 species
CAAUAGCGUAUAUUAAAGUUGUUGCGGUUAAAAAGCUCGUAGUUGGAUUUCUGCUGAAGGCAGCCGGUCCAUGUUCGACAUGCGCAUCUGGAUUGACUUCGGCAUCCUCUCAGAUAACGAUUCUGUGCUUGAUUGUAUGGAGCGGAGUUUGAGACUUUUACUUUGAGGAAAAUAGAGUGUUCACGGCAGGCAAUCGCCCUGAAUAUAUUAGCAUGGAAUAAUAAAAUAGGAUCUUGGUUCUAUUUUGUUGGUUUCUAGAACGAAGAUAAUGAUUAAUAGGGACAAUUGGGGGCAUUCGUAUUAACGCGUCAGAGGUGGAAUUCUUGGAUUGCGUUACGACGAACUACUGCGAAAGCAUUUGCCAAGGAUGUUUUCAUUGA